rnacentral:piRNA from 1 species
UGUAAAAAUGAAACAGAUUAUCUCAUGCCA